rnacentral:lncRNA from 1 species
CAAGGCGGAUGCAUCCGGAGGGCUGGGGCCACGCCCACCCGCAGAGCAGGCGUGCCGGGUGGGCCAGCCGAGGGCGCACGUGGGACUCCCCCUGCUCUCGCCCGAUGCGUUUCUCCUGCGACCGGCACAUCAGGUCCCUUGGUGGAACAGUUCGAAGGGGAGCGUUCUGAAUUAAAACGUGUGUCUCUUUGGUGAGCCGGAUUAUGGCAAAGGUCAGUGCAGGGGGCACCCUCCUGUGCGCAGGUGUAUGUGGGGUGGGGGCAGGCGGGGGUGCGGCGAGUGCUGCUUUUGCUGUUGAUGGGCUCUCCCCUGCGUUUCCA